UACGGAGGAUCCAAGCGUUAUCCGGAUUUAUUGGGUUUAAAGGGUGCGUAGGCGGCUUAUUAAGUCAGGGGUGAAAGACGGUGGCUCAACCAUCGCAGUGCCCUUGAUACUGAUGAGCUUGAAUACACUUGAGGUAGGCGGAAUGUGACAAGUAGCGGUGAAAUGCAUAGAUAUGUCACAGAACACCAAUUGCGAAGGCAGCUGGCUAAGCUGUUACUGACGCUGAGGCACUAAAGCGUAGGGAUCAAACAGG
rnacentral:rRNA from 1 species